rnacentral:rRNA from 2 species
AAACCUUAGGAAGGUGGGGAUGACGUCAAAUCAUCAUGCCCCUUAUGACCUGGGCUACACAGGUGCUACAAUGGAUGGUACAACGAGUUGCGAGACCGCGAGGUCAAGCUAAUCUCUUAAAGCCAUUCUCAGUUCGGACUGUAGGCUGCAACUCGCCUACACGAAGUCGGAAUCGCUAGUAAUCGCGGAUCAGCACGCCGCGGUGAAUACGUUCCCGGGCCUUGUACACACCGCCCGUCACACCAUGAGAGUUUGUAACACCCGAAGCCGGUGGCGUAACCCUUUUAGGGAGCGAGCCGUCUAAGGUGGGACAA